rnacentral:rRNA from 1 species
AUUGAACGCUGGCGGCGUGCUUAACACAUGCAAGUCGAACGGAGUGGCGAACGGGUGAGUAACACGUGGGUGACCUGCCCUGCACUUCGGGAUAAGCCUGGGAAACUGGGUCUAAUACCGGCUAGUGGGGGAUGGGCCAGCGGGCUAUCAGCUUGGUGGUGGGGUCAUGGCCUACCAAGGCGGCGACGGGAAGCCGGCCUGAGAGGGUGGAUGGCCACAGUGGGACUGAGCGACGGCCCAGACGCGUACGGGAGGCAGCAGUGGGGAAUAUUGCACAAUGGGCGGCAGCCUGAUGCAGCGACGCCGCGUGGGGGAUGACGGCCUUCGGGUUGUAAACUCCUUUCACCAUCGACGCGGGAGAUGGAGAAGAAGCACCGGCUAACUACGUGCCAGCAGCCGCGGUAAUAC